rnacentral:rRNA from 1 species
CACGGGGGGAGCAAGCGUUGUUCGGAAUCACUGGGCGUAAAGGGCGUGUAGGCGGUCAGGUAAGUGGGAUGUGAAAUGCCCCGGCUCACCCGGGGACCGGCAUCCCAUACUGCUUGGCUUGAGUACGGGAGAGGAUGUGGGAAUUCCUGGUGUAGCGGUGAAAUGCGUAGAUAUCAGGAGGAACACCGGUGGCGAAGGCGCACAUCUGGCCCGAUACUGACGCUGAGGCGCGAAAGCUAGGGGAGAAAACGGG